rnacentral:rRNA from 1 species
GAUGAACGCUAGCGGCAGGCUUAAUACAUGCAAGUCGAGGGACAGCACAGGUAGCAAUACUGGGUGGUAACCGGCAAACGGGUGCGGAACACGUACACAACCUUCCUUUAAGUGGGGGAUAGCCCAGAGAAAUUUGGAUUAAUACCCCGUAAUAUAGUUGAAUGGCAUCAUUUGAUUAUUAUAGCUACGGCGCUUAAUGAUGGGUGUGCGGCUGAUUAGAUAGUUGGCGGGGUAACGGCCCACCAAGUCUACGAUCAGUAGCUGAUGUGAGAGCAUGAGCAGCCACACGGCCACUGAGACACGGGCCCGACUCCUACGGGAGGCAGCAGUAAGGAAUAUUGGGCAAUGGACGCAAGUCUGAACCAGCCAUGCCGCGUGAAGGAUUAAGGUCCUCUGGAUUGUAAACUUCUUUUAUUUGGGACGAAAAAGGGCCUUUCUAGGUCAACUGACGGUACCAGAUGAAUAAGCACCGGCUAACUCCGUGCCAGCCGCCGCGGUAAGAC